AGGACGAACGCUGGCGGCGUGCUUAACACAUGCAAGUCGAGCGGUGAUCCUCCUUCGGGAGGUGAUCAGCGGCGAACGGGUGAGUAACACGUGGGCAACCUGCCCCUCACACUGGGAUAACCUCGGGAAACCGGGCUAAUACCGGAUACGACCUCGAGCGGCAUCUCUUGAGGUGGAAAGCUCCGACGGUGAGGGAUGGGCCCGCGGCCUAUCAGCCUUGUUGGUGGGUAAUGGCCUACCGAAGGCGACGACGGGUA
rnacentral:rRNA from 1 species